rnacentral:rRNA from 1 species
GACGAACGCUGGCGGCGUGCCUAAUACAUGCAAGUUGAGCGCUGAAGGUUGGUACUUGUACCAACUGGAUGAGCAGCGAACGGGUGAGUAACGCGUGGGGAAUCUGCCUUUGAGCGGGGGACAACAUUUGGAAACGAAUGCUAAUACCGCAUAAAAACUUUAAACACAAGUUUUAAGUUUGAAAGAUGCAAUUGCAUCACUCAAAGAUGAUCCCGCGUUGUAUUAGCUAGUUGGUGAGGUAAAGGCUCACCAAGGCGAUGAUACAUAGCCGACCUGGGAGGGGGAACGGCCACAUUGGGACUGGGACACGGCCCAAACUCCUACGGGAGGCAGCAGUAAGGAAUCUUCGGCAAUGGACGAAAGUCUGAACGGGCAACGCCGCGGGAGUGAAGAAGGGUUUCGGAUCGUAAAAAUCUGUUGGUAGAGAAGAACGUUGGUGAGAGUGGAAAGCUCAUCAAGUGACGGUAACUACCCAGAAAGGGACGGCUAACUACGUG